UACGAAGGGGGCUAGCGUUGCUCGGAAUCACUGGGCGUAAAGCGCACGUAGGCGGCCAACUAAGUCAGACGUGAAAUCCCUCGGCUUAACCGGGGAACUGCAUCUGAUACUGGAUGGCUUGAGUUUGGGAGAGGGAUGCGGAAUUCCAGGUGUAGCGGUGAAAUGCGUAGAUAUGCGGAGGAACACCGAUGGCGAAGGCAAUCCCCUGGGCCUGCACUGACGCUCAUGCACGAAAGCGUGGGGAGCAAACAGG
rnacentral:rRNA from 1 species